rnacentral:rRNA from 1 species
ACUGAACGCUGGCGGAAUGCUUUACACAUGCAAGUCGAGCGGCAGCGCGGGGCAACCUGGCGGCGAGCGGCGAACGGGUGAGUAAUACAUCGGAACGUGCCCAGACGUGGGGGAUAACUACGCGAAAGAGUAGCUAAUACCGCAUAUGAUCUAAGGAUGAAAGCGGGGGAUCGCAAGACCUCGCGCGUUUGGAGCGGCCGAUGGCAGAUUAGGUAGUUGGUGGGGUAAAGGCUUACCAAGCCUGCGAUCUGUAGCUGGUCUGGGAGGACGACCAGCCACACUGGGACUGAGACACGGCCCAGACUCCUACGGGAGGCAGCAGUGGGGAAUUUUGGACAAUGGGCGAAAGCCUGAUCCAGCCAUUCCGCGUGCAGGAUGAAGGCCCUCGGGCUGUAAACUGCUUUUGUACAGAACGAAAAAGCUCUGGUUAAUACCUGGAGUCCAUGACGGUACUGUAAGAAUAAGCACCGGCUAACUACGUGCCAGCCGCCGCGGUAA